rnacentral:rRNA from 1 species
CCUACGGGUGGCAGCAGUGGGGAAUCUUCCGCAAUGGGCGAAAGCCUGACGGAGCAACGCCGCGUGAGUGAAGACGGCCUUCGGGUUGUAAAGCUCUGUUAUAGGGGACGAACGGCCGGGUAGCGAAGAGGUAGCCGGCAUGACGGUACCGUAAGAGAAAGCCACGGCUAACUACGUGCCAGCAGCCGCGGUAAUACGUAGGUGGCAAGCGUUGUCCGGAAUGAUUGGGCGUAAAGGGCGCGCAGGCGGCUGUGUAAGUCUGUCCAGAAAGUGCGGGGCUAAACCCCGUGAGAGGAUGGAAACUGGACAGCUGAGAGUGUCGGAGAGGAAAGCGGAAUUCCUAGUGUAGCGGUGAAAUGCGUAGAUAUUAGGAGGAACACCGGUGGCGAAAGCGGCUUUCUGGACGACAACUGACGCUGAGGCGCGAAAGCCAGGGGAGCAAACGGGAUUAGAUACCCUUGUAGUC